UCCUCCCCCAGAGGCAUUGCAGGUGUGGCUCCUGUAUCACGUGUGCAUCAGUAGACGGCAGAGAGGAGAGAGGCUACGACUAUGCUCAGUGUUUCUGACCUGUGAACACUGAGUAAUUGAUUAGUAGCUUAACAUU